UACGGGGGGAGCAAGCGUUGUUCGGAUUUACUGGGCGUAAAGGGCGCGUAGGCGGCCACCGCAAGUCGGUUGUGAAAUCUCUGGGCUUAACCCAGAAAGGUCAACCGAUACUGCGGGGCUAGAGUGCAGAAGGGGCAACUGGAAUUCUCGGUGUAACGGUGAAAUGCGUAGAUAUCGAGAGGAACACCUGCGGCGAAGGCGGGUUGCUGGGCUGACACUGACGCUGAUGCGCGAAAGCUAGGGGAGCGAACGGG
rnacentral:rRNA from 1 species